AAACCACAAUUAAACAAAAUGCCAACCAAAUAAUUAGAACAGACAACAACACCUAGACAGCUGAUAUAUGUUAGAAUACAUUUCUGGAACACGCUGGCUCUUGUUUCCCAGUGCCUGAGCCGGCAAUGGCGCCUCCGGCCUUGCUGACCUCUGAGGAGCCUGCUCUGCCUCCUCCUGCGCUUGCUUUUUGCCGCACCUCACAUGCCACCUAGUGGCUUCCCAAGUGGAAAAUUCCUUUUAAACGUGAUUUACAGUCACGUCGCCUCUGCCGGCUGCUCCGUACACCUCAAGCUCGCUCUUGAAGAGCACAGCCCCGGCACCUCUGCAGCCCGGCCCCGGCCAAGAGCCGCCUGUCAGCGGCCCCUCCCUGCACCCUCAGACCCCCGGGAAAUUCCCACCUCCUCGGCCUGUGUUUACAGCUCUCUCCUGUUCUCUGCCAUGUUCAAAGCCUUCACGGAGCCCACGCCCAUUUGGCUGCUCACCUUACCCCCCUGGCCCACGACCUUAACCAAGUAUCUGGCAGAAAGAAGAAAAGGAAUGUGAAGAAAGGUAAGAUGUCUCUGCAGAGUAUGGUCUCAGCUGAAGUAGACGUCUUUUCCUGGAGUGCUGAAAAAAAAUCAUUUUAAGAAGCUGAUCUGAUUAACUGGGUUAAACCAGAAAUGUGCUGAAUUUCUCUGCAGACAUGGCAUAGCUGCUGACCUGCACUGAGACUGGAAAUCGUUCCAGGCUGUGACGUGCCAUGUCUGUUCAUGUCAGCUGUGCACUGGGAAAUGCACAAGAAAACUUGCUGAAAAUGUCCUUCAGCUUAGGGCUCAAAAAAGAUUCCUGUAAAACAUGUUGCUUGUGAGGAAACCAGCCUCUCAGACCAAAUAAAUAA